CCCACUGGGCGUGCCAAUUUGUGAACACGGAAAAUUCCUGAAACGAAUGAGACAAGAACAACGUGCACAAACAAAUAUUAUGUAUUUUGAUGAUUUUGGGUUACAAUCUCUCUCUAUUUUGAUCCUCUGAUUCGAUCUCCGUAAGGUGUGUAUUUGUGGAUGUGCGAUUGAUCCAAAGGGCCGUUGGGCUUGAUCUAAGGAUGAACGUUCUUCAAGGGCCGUGGACUUGAUCUUGAAGGUGGAUUUGAGUGGAUCUUCAAAGGGGCUUUUGGGCUUGAUCUUUGAAGAACAGUGAUGAACGGAUCUCCAAGGGCUUUUGGGCUUGAUCUUGAAGAACAGUGAUGAACGGAUCUUCAAGGGCUUUUGGGCUUGAUCUUGAAGAACGGUUGGAUGCGUGGAUUUGUCGACGUUGUUGAUCCAAAGGGCCGUUGGGGCUUGAUCUUGGAUGAACGGAUGAUGAACGAUGGUGCUUUCUUCAAGGGCCGUCGGGGCUUGAUCUUGAAUUGGUGGAUGGUUGAUCCAAGGGCCGUCGGGGCUUGAUCUUGGAAGAACGAUGAACGAAGAAUGAAGAACACUUUCUUCAAGGGCCGUCGGGGCUUGAUCUUGAAUUGGUGGAUGAUUGUUGAUCCAAAGGUCGUCGAGGCUUGAUCUUGGAAGAACGAUGAACGAAGAACGAAGAACAGUUUCUUGAUUCUUCGGGAACCUGGAUGCUUGAGAGCUUCGGAGUUUCAGAGCUUCAGAGUUUCAAGGUGUAAUAUGAAUUCGUCCUUCUAAAUGAAUGAAAUGGGCUUGUAUUUAUAGAAAUUUCCAAGGCCUAAUUUUGCAUAUAAUAUUCCAGAUGAAAUAAGUCGUUUCUGCCAGGUGUUGACACGUGUCCUAUUUGAUGACUUUUCCAACUCAUUUCAAUUUUCGUUGAGUCACACGCUACGUGUAAAAUUUAUGUAAUACAUGAGCGUUGACACUUUGAUUUAUCGGUCAACAUUUAUUUACCGAAAUUUCGAUGUCUACAGUUGUAUUUCAAUUAAAUUGUGAUCUUUGAAUUAAUGUCUAAGUUGUUAACAUGCAUGUAUUAUAAUAUUUAAUAACAUGAAACUUAAACAACAUUUAACGACAUGUGUAACACGAAAUCCUAUCCGAAAAAUUAUUGAGAUUAUAUAAAGAUAAGAAAUCUAGAGGCUUAUUCAUGACGAACGGUACUCAAAAUAUGUCCAAUGACUUUAUUUUAAUAUGGUAGUUUAAUUCAAUUAACCAAUAAAAUUAAAAGAAAACUACUGAAAAUGGCUUGAAAAUUUUGAGUUUUAACGAUAAGGAAAAAAUAAAGGGUAAAGUGAAUAGUACUAGGAUUGACUUUUUAGUGUAAAAAUCUGGUUUUUCGUUAAAGUGAACAGUAACAGAAUUUUUUCGUUAAAGUUCCCUAAAAUUAAAGGACAAACUUAAUAUAAUAAAUUAUUGAGGGGGCUAAAAAUGUCCACUUGGACUCUGAAUUGACUUGUGCUGGCCGACACCUGAAGGGUGAUGAAGCCAUAAAGUGUAGUGUAGUGCAAAUAUGAUGUGAAUUAAUUUAAACCUAAAUGUUCAUAGUCAAAAGAGUGGGGUGUGCGGGAUUCAACCAAUUUCACACGUGAUGUCAGAGCAUAAGACAAUAUAGUAAAUAGGAUGAGGGUUAUACCACUGAAGAUAGCCAUUUCCUGAGAUUUGUUAGAAUCCUCGUUUACACGUAAGCAUUACUACUAAACCUAGAAGGGUGACAAACAAAGUUAAGUGGGUCAGCAAAACAACGUUUGUAAGAAACCUUUAUUUCCGAACAUAGUAACCCCUCGCUGUAAAACAAGUAUAGUUUCCAUAAAACAUACUACGUAAGUAUGUAACAAAAGUACAACAACAAUAUAACCAGAAAUAUGCCAAGUCAUGAUAUAUCAAAUGUCGCAGUAAUAUAAUCAUGUGAUAAUCAAGUAUAACUAAGUGCUCAUCCAUCUAAGCUGACACACGAGUUCGUAGAGAUAAUUUUUGACACGAAUAGGACUAGGUGUAAUCAAUACGCUCUAGUACUACGAUCACGUGAAGACUGGUGCCGAAGCACGAUCACAUAUAAGUCGGAAUUGCCUAAUGCAAUCUGUACGAUAGGAUUGGCACCUAACUUGGAUCAAAGGCGAGCGAACGGUGCGGAUGUGAACAUACACGUGAAGGACUGGCCUUGCCCCUGGGGCGAGUACUAACACCAGGGUGCAACAAUGAUGAGCAUGUACAAAUAUGUAUGCAUGUCAUGACAGUAAUAUCCCAACCAUAUAGCAGAAUUUAUCACAUUUAAUAUCACAAUAACGAUACUUGGCAAUAUAAGUGUAAUAAUGGAGUAAAUACGCAUUUAUGGAAACUAUAACUAUGUAUAGAUAUAAAAACAAACUGCCCAUUCACAAUACAUCGUAGCCUAUGAACCUUGCCUGACCCCGUACGCCAUCGUGAUACGUUUCCCCUAUAUGUGAAAUUACUAAUUAACUUAGUUUAAUAACACAUAAAUGGAAACUUAAAUAAAACCUCCGUAGAUUGCUCAAACAUAGGGUUUGAAUAUAUGAAAUCGAUCUACUCGACAUCACGGACCUACACAAUUGACAGAAGGUCAACCAGAGGCCGGAUGCGUCACCAUGCGCCGACUAAGGCACGGCCAUACGUGCCACCACGCACAGGUAAGGCCCUGACAUCCGUCAGGAAUAUUUUGUCAGUUUGACAUAAUAUUCAGUUAAAUAACUUAUAGAGUUU
rnacentral:lncRNA from 1 species